GAUGAAGAACGUAGCGAAAUGCGAUACUUGGUGUGAAUUGCAGAAUCCCGUGAACCAUCGAGUCUUUGAACGCAAGUUGCGCCCGAAGCCAUUUGGUUGAGGGCACGUCUGCCUGGGCGUCACAUAUCGUUGCCCGAUGCCUAUUGCACUGUGAUAGGAAAUUCUAGGGCGAAAGAUGGCUUCCCGUGAGCGUUGUUGCCUUGCGGUUGGUUGAAAAUCGAGUCCUUGGUAGGGUGUGCCAUGAUAGAUGGUGGUCGAGUUUGCACGAAAUAUGGACUCUUUGACCCCACACGCGUCUUUUGACGCUCAUGACGAGACCUCAGGUCAGGCGGGGCUACCCGCUGAGUUUAAGCAUAUCAAUAAGCGGAGGA
rnacentral:misc_RNA from 1 species